rnacentral:snRNA from 1 species
GGAUGUGAGGGCGAUCUGGCUGCAACAUCUGUCACCCCAUUGAUCGCCAGGGUUAAUUCGGCUGAUCUGGCUGGCCAGGCAGGUGUCCCUGUCCUCCCUCACUGCUCCAUGUGCGUCCCUCCUGAAGCUGCACGCUUGGUCCACAAGGGCGACCACCCCCGACAGGCAGAGGAGUACCAUUUCCUCAUUCAAGGACCAGUUCCUCGGUCAAGGGAGUAGCUGUGCUCCCCUGCUAGAACCUCCAAACAAGCUCUCAAGAGUUACUUCUAAUGCAUUUGUAUGCACAUGCAGCAACCUAAAUUGUUGACACAGACUAGAACUGACUUGUAUGUUUUCACCACUA